AUCCCAUGGUGAGGACACUUACUAAGCAUCUCCUUGAAUCAUUCCCAUGCUUCAUACAAAGACUCCCUUUCAAAUUGAGCAAAAGUAGUGAUAUCAUUAAUUGGUU
rnacentral:snoRNA from 1 species